rnacentral:tRNA from 1 species
GCGCCAGUAGCUCAGCUGGAUAGAGUAACGGACUACGAAUCCGGAGGUCGGGGGUUCGAAUCCCUCCUGGCGCGCGA